UUGGCGCGGUGCGGUGCGGUGCGGUGUUGGCUUUGUGAGCGGGAUAGCAUUUUAGCACCUGUUUUUAUGUAGUUCUGGGAAGAGUUAUGGAGGAGGUGGGGUUCGGCUGGCCUGAGAUUUUCACGCACCGCUGCGUAACAUGAUCAGCAUGUGCUUGGAGGAAAAUGAACACCAGAUUCUCUUACUAGCAUGGCCCUGAAGUGAGCAGCUGCAGUAUAAGGUGAACUGAACAUGAUCUAAUAAGGGCUGGAAUUUUUGCAGAGAUGAGUUUAGUACUUCUCUGUGUUACUGAGGAAAAGGGAUAAUGAUUCUGAAAAGGUAACACUGUGUUGAUCCUUUUCUGUUCCUCAUUCCAUCCCAUGCCCCAUCUGGAAAGUGGAAAUUGGAGACAGGUUUUAAAAGGAAAACUUUUCCUCUGAUAACUUGGAGAAAAAGCGGUACAGAAGACUUUUCGAAGAAAGUGGAUCUUUAAUCUUGUCUGGAAGGGAUUGUCUGGGACCACCUGCAGUAAAGAUUUUGGCUGAAUGAAAAAGUAGCUCAGUAUUUUCAAAAACUGUCUAGAGGUGUAGAUUUUGAGUACUUCUAUAAAUAUUUUCCCAAUAUUGACUUAGGGCAUUCAAUGUAUUCUCAGUAUCGGGUUGAUUUGCUAUUGAUGUGGGUAAUAAUUUCAUUAGCUAAUGACACUAUCUGAGGGUAUACAUGCAAAAUA